GGAGCCACCAACGGUGCGGCCACACUGUCCCCUUCCCUGGCCGUCCCCACACCUGCCUCCUGGUCUAGUUCCCAAGGAGAGGAGAUGACCAGGCAUUGGCGACCCCAGGGGAGAUUUGGGCUAUUUUUUGUCCUUUCUUUCAAGGCCCAUCAACUCUCUUCAAGAUGGGGGUUGGUUCUUGAUGCCCUCACCAUGGACAAGACCGGCCCGUCCUCAUCCCCGGGUGACGCUCCACAUGCAUGUGAGGCCGUGGAGCCAGGCAGGGCUACCAGCUGUGUGAUGCCGGGAAAGACACCUGACCUCUCUGAGCCUCCGCUUCCUGAAACGCAGCCUGGAGAUGAGAACUGCACCUGAGAUCAAAAGGCCACAUGGAACAUGUGGUGGAGGAGGCCCGAACCGGAGCAGCCCCC